UCUCUUUCUUUUUACAAAGACUUUAUUGUCUGACAUGCUUGACAAAAAAAAAUUACAGCCACAAUCAAGUUAUGCCAAAAUGAUUGAGGAGCACGCCAUCAUCUUUCAUACCUCAAGGACUUUUAAUGAAUUUUUCUUUUAAAGUAACAGCUGCCUUCAUAACUUUUAUUUUCCACAUAAAAAUACACCAUAUUCUGAAGAUACCUUAGGAAAAAGAAUUUUUUUUUUAAGUUUAUAGUUCUUGAUCCGCAUAGAAAUUCAGUAGAGGCGAUCGAAAGAGUCUGGAGUCAUCGCCACCCAUUUAAGCACACACACGCCGUGCGUCUGAGGUGCCCCCAGAGACCCUGUAAACAUCCCCGGCUACCAGGAACCACGUGGGUUGAACAGGACUCCUGAAGCCCUGCAGGCUGCAGAGUAAAGCUGGCCCCGGCCAGCAUGCUGCUGCUCCUGGGCUCCCUGGAUGGGUCCUUCACCCUAUGGGAGCCCCAUUCUCAUAGGGAAGGAAUCACGGUCUCCUGGGACCCUGGGCUCAGAGAUCCAAGUCCUCCAGGGCUCCAGGGGCUUUCCGUGAGAAACAAACCCGACAGGUGCUGAACAGGAUUCUUAAAGAAAAAGAGCCUUGAGUCCUGCAUCGCCUUGUAGGGGCAGAGCUUCGGGUGCUGGCAGAGCAGGAGGCUGUGAAGCCAGAGACCAAGGUUCAAACCCUGCCUCUGCCUCUUUUGAGCUGUGCACCCUCAGGCUAGUUGCCUCACCUCUCUGACCUCAAUCACUUCAUCUCUAAAACAGGGCCAGAGUACCCACCUUGCAGGAGCGCUGGAAAUGGGAUCACAUCUGCAAAGGGCUCAUUAAAUGCUGGUUCCCAGGCCUGGGAUGAAGAGGAGGCAGGCAGGGCCCUCCUCUCGGACACACAAUUGAAGAGGGCACCAAAAAACUCGGUGAUCCAAAUCAAUGAUACUAUUUUAAUGCAGUGUUUUUAAAAACCAAAAUUAAUGCAGGGGAGAAAAAAUCUAUGAUAAACAGAAUACCUAAAUUUUAAAUAAAGAAUCUAAUGCUGCCCGUGCCAGUUCGGCUUCGCCGGCCUCACCCCAAGCAGGCCUGGCUGGUUCUCUGUCCAUCAGAGAGACUCAGCCCAACGCUGCAGUCCUUGAAGUCCCCCUGGUGGAACUGCAGGAGUCCAGUCCUGGCUCUGACUCUGGGCCGUGUUCCCAUUAGGGGGCAGCUGCUACCCGGUACCACAACUGUGAACCAUUCAGCCAUCUCAGCCAAGGGCAGGGGAGACAGAACCCAAGGGGCGAGGGAAAUCCCACCGGGGGCCAGAACACAUCCGAGGACAGCAGUGGGAGCCCCGAGGUUCACCUCACUAGGUUAAGAGGGGCGCAAGGAUGAGUGUGUCCACAUCCCCACGGGCGCACAGGGUGCAGCGCUGCCUCGGCCCAUGGACCCCCCGGCUUCUGGGUUCUGCAGAGCUCGGCACACCCCAGGGGACCAGGGGUGUCCAGCACGUGGGGAUCCUCCGGCCCAGUCGUGGGUCUUCAACAAGCUCAUUCUACAGAACCAACCCCUCUCCACCCCACCAAGUCCAGGCUCCAAGCGGGUGUCCAGGAUGCUCAGGCCAUCAUUCACAUCAGCAAAAAUGCCCACAGGAAGAAAACACGGGACGGCAAGAAGCCGACGGCCGGGUGGCCUGGCCAGACGCAGCCCGAUUCCUGAGACGUCCCUGAUCGCUCCCUCAGAGGCCUGGGAGAAGCGGAAGGGCUGCCCGCACUCAGACUGCGACACCCCACCCAUCCACCUCCCAACCCUGAGGCGUGCAGCCACUCAGACCCUCAGUGAGAGGGAGAUU
rnacentral:lncRNA from 1 species